rnacentral:rRNA from 1 species
UACGUAGGGCCCGAGCGUUAUCCGGUAUAUUGGGCGUAAAGAGUAUGUAGGCGGUUUGGUAAGACAAUUGUUAAAGCCUCGGGCUCAACCCGAGAAUCGCUUUUGUGACUGCCAGACUAGACGAUAGCAGGGGCAAGCGGAAUUUCCGGUGUAGGAGUGAAAUCCGUUGAGAUCGGAAAGAACACCAAUGGCGAAGGCAGCUUGCUAGGUUAUUUGUGACGCUGAGAUACGAAAGCGUGGGGAGCGAACGGG